UACGGGGGGGCAAGCGUUGUUCGGAAUUACUGGGCGUAAAGGGCUCGUAGGCGGCCAACUAAGUCAGACGUGAAAUCCCUCGGACUUAACCGGGGAACUGCAUCUGAUACUGGAUGGCUUGAGUUCGGGAGAGGGAUGCGGAAUUGCCAGGUGUAGCGGUCGAAAUGGCGUAGAUAUCAGGAGGAACACCUGCGGUGUGAGACGGCUUACUGGACCAUAACUGACGCUGGAGGCACGAAAGCGUGGGUAGCAAACAGGA
rnacentral:rRNA from 1 species